rnacentral:rRNA from 1 species
UACGUAGGGUGCAAGCGUUGUCCGGAAUUAUUGGGCGUAAAGAGCUCGUAGGCGGUCUGUCGCGUCUGCUGUGAAAACUCAGGGCUUAACCCUGAGCUUGCAGUGGGUACGGGCAGACUAGAGUGCGGUAGGGGAGACUGGAAUUCCUGGUGUAGCGGUGAAAUGCGCAGAUAUCAGGAGGAACACCGGUGGUGAAGGCGGGUCUCUGGGCAACAACUGACGCUGAGGAGCGAAAGCGUGGGGAGCGAACAGG